AUUGAACGCUGGCGGCAGGCCUAACACAUGCAAGUCGAGCGGGGUUUUCGGACCUAGCGGCGGACGGGUGAGUAAUGCGUAGGAAGCUACCCGAUAGAGGGGGAUACCAGUUGGAAACGACUGUUAAUACCGCAUAAUGUCUACGGACCAAAGUGUGGGACCUUCGGGCCACAUGCUAUCGGAUGCGCCUACGUGGGAUUAGCUAGUUGGUGAGGUAAUGGCUCACCAAGGCGACGAUCCCUAGCUGGUUUGAGAGGAUGAUCAGCCACACUGGAACUGAGACACGGUCCAGACUCCUACGGGAGGCAGCAGUGGGGAAUAUUGGACAAUGGGCGCAAGCCUGAUCCAGCCAUGCCGCGUGUGUGAAGAAGGCCUUCGGGUUGUAAAGCGCUUUCAGUAGGGAGGAAGCGUUGUGUGUUAAUAGUACACAGCGUUGACGUUACCUACAGAAGAAGCACCGGCUAACUCUGUGCCAGCCGCCGCGGUAAGAC
rnacentral:rRNA from 1 species